rnacentral:misc_RNA from 1 species
AAAGUCGUAACAAGGUUUCCGUAGGUGAACCUGCGGAAGGAUCAUUAUUGAUUGAUAAGAGGGAUGUGCUGGCAAAACAAAAUUUAAAAAAUAUUUACUUUUGCAUUGUGCACUCCUGAAAUCUUCAUCUUCAUCCACUUGUGCACAAUGUAGACGAAACAGUCAAUGAAGUAAUGAAAUGAAUUUCGUUUAGUGAAUUAAUUUUUGUUGCUUUUGUUGCUUUUUGUCUACGAUUUUGUCAUAUACAAUUAUCAGUUAUUGAAUGGGGUAAUUGGCUUUCCAUUGAAAGUCAAAAAUUUGAUACAACUUUCAACAAUGGAUUUCUUGGUUCUC